CAGAUCUAUAGAUUUGUUUAGAUUUCGCGGAAAUGACGAGUCGAGAAUGGACUUGGCAGAAUACAGUCUUGUAGGAGUGAUGAAUAAGGCCAGAUUAUCCUUAAUGAACAAGAUAAAUUGACCUGUGCUGCUGUGUUAAGUCAAACAAGCAGUUUAUUUCUGUCAGCUUAAUGGCGACUUUACCCCAAAGCAACAUGGUGGAGGCGAAAGAAAAUGUAGACCAGAUGCUCCAUCAAGAAGAAACGGACACCAUACACCAGCCUAACCUUGCAAACACCGAGGAGCUCCAGAUAUCGUCACAAAGCUCUCCUUGUUCUCCCGUGACGUGUAAGGAGGAACCAUUAUUUACAGCUGACCAGAACGGCUGUGGUCAGUCUCCAGAACUCCAGAUUUCCUCACAAAGCUCUCCUUGUUCUCCCAUGACGUGUAAGGAUGAACCAUUAUUUACAG